UGGAAUAGGCGCUUCACUCUCGCUUCCAAUGCAAAGUAGGGGAGGCUUUCGCUAAUAGAAACGACAAGGGGUAGAGCGCCGCCACUGUGCUUCCAUAGAGCACCAUAGCCCGUGGCCAGUCCUCAUUUUUGCCGGAAAUUCAAGCUGUAUUAUUAUUUUGCCUACGGAAGCCUGCAAAGGUCAAGGGAGAAGGCAAGGGUCUGCGCAGAGGCGUUUUGUGCUUGUUUGCAGGCAUGUCGCACAUGUCGGCGAAGAAGCGGCUAGCUAAGCCGUUCUUAUUUGGGAGCAUUUUAUGCGCUUUGGCCACCGCCUUCGUGUACAGACAUCAGUUUUUCCCUGAGAUAGAAGAGCUUCGUGCCCAGGAGUAUCAACGCCAUGAGAAGAAGCGCCAAGAAGUGCUGCAGAGGCGCCAGAAGCAAUUGGCUGAGCUAGCACAGAAAAGAAGUGCCUCUUAGUGGGCCUGUACUGCUGACAGAAACAGAGACCUGACUGGCCUGCUGACUAAAUGGACCAGGUGGGAUUUCUCACCUACCCACAACCUUUGUGUGUGUGUGGGGGGGCAAUUUGGCCUCCAGCAGCUGCGUGCACUUGCCUUGUUCACUGAGUGAUGUGACUUAUCAAGUAAAACCGGGCUUGGGGAGUGAGGAAACUUGACAUCAGUUCUUGGUUGUUUUACUGAAUUAUUUCUUAUGCCUUGGAACAUGAAACAAAACCAUUGUUUUAUCAGACAGUAUUAAGUGAUUAAAAAAAACAUUCAGGACUAUGUUGAAUAGUAAAAGCCUCCCUUUAGAAUUUUUUCACCAAUAUAUAACAUAGUUAGUGCCUGGUCAGAAGCGCCUAGGUCACUGCCUGGUGCAUGGGGUAAAACUAGCUUUGCUGAACAUACUUUUAAAAAUCAUUGUCUAGGACACAGUAAUUUUUGAAGCAUUAUUUAGAUUUUUGUGAAGUUUCUCAGCCAAAUAGGGGUGGAGAAGAGGCAAAAGAGAAGAGUCUUUUAUCUCUUCUGUGUGAAGGUUCCUCAAGUAUUCCUACAUUGGGUCACCACACAGUCUUUGUUCACCUUUUAAUAACACCUGGAAGAUCUGGUCAUGGGAAGGACUCUCAUUGGUUAGACACUCAAUUGUAAAUGAAACAGAUUAUAUAACUCUAUUUUUUCCAUGUACAUUUUUUACGCAGAUAAAAUGACGACCUCUGCAUAUUUGUAGGUGUGGAUACAAUAAUUCAGUUGGAGCUGCCUGUAUUUUGUAUGCCUGUUCGGAAUUCCUAUUAUUGUACUUUGGAUAAAAAUUCUGCUUCCAGGAUUCAGAUUUUCAAAGGACUUAAACGGGGGGUUGGGGGGGGUUGGGUUAUUGGAUGAGCUAAUGAUAGUUAUCAGAGAGAAAUCAGAUUUGCAUGUGGGUAAUGCGUAUAGGUAAUGUUAAUAAUUUUAGUAGGAUGUAUGUACUUGUAAUACAUUUAGGAUCAUGGUGUAAUGGUAUUUCAUCUUGCUUCCACCAUUUGUUUGCUGUUUAAGUUAAAGGUAGUAAAUCUGGAUUAUGCCUUCGGAUAUUAGUUGGGGGACGGGCAAUGAAGGAGGACUGUUGUCUUCUUCCCUAGUUUGUUAACUUUCUGUAAAAUCUGAGUAGCCUGUGUUGGAAUAAGAUUCUGAACUAUAUGGACCAUGAUGCAUAAGAAGCAGGACCAUGAUGCAUAAGAAGCAGGACCAUGAUGCAUAAGAAGAGUGUGAAGUGUGCAAUUCACUGGAGAGAUCGUAUUCAACUGAAAUGAAUGAGAAUCGCACCACUGUGCUCUUCUGCUUCUCCCACUCACCUCAGUGAACUUUCCCAAUUGUGCCUCAAAUAAACACAGUUGAUUGACAAAGAAAAGGGGAAUGGAUGCAAAUGAAUAACAACAAGGAAGGAAUGACUUCUAUAUAUUUAAUGUCUGCUAAGAGCUGUAAAAUUUCCAGAAAUUUCCAUGCCAUGGGAAAUUUUUUCCCCUGUUUUAUUUUCUGGGGGGAUGGCAAUUUUGGGAAAAAUUGAAAUAUAUGCAACACUUUCUGUCCUGUCAAACCUAAAAUAAUGUUACUACUUUAACGACAUAAAAACAUCAUUUAAAACUUACUUAACAUAUAAAAUUGCAAUUUUUGACAUUUAUGGAAUUUAAAAGUUAUUUAAUGCCAUAGUUUUGUCAAGCAAAGUUGCAAAUACACCCAAUGCUUUAGAGAAAACUGCAAGCUCAUGCACCCUAUGCUAUCUUACACAUGUACAUUGAUUUUUGCUGUCUGGUUAGAGAGAGCUCAGUUCUCAGUGAAACUUUCUGUUUUCCUCUGAGGCUUUGGUGCAUUUUCUGCUUCACCUCUGAUUUUUAUCUCCCUCCUGCAAAGUAGGACAAUAAACUAUUUUUUUUAGCUAAUCUAUUGGUAAAUGUGGCAGCUGUGGAAGAUCAGUCAGGCCAGAUUGAAAGGACAAGAGAAGGCAUGCAACUGUUGAGAAGCAACGAGAGCCCUCCAUUUUCCCCUCAGAAAGAUUGGGUAUCCUUCCUUCUAGGUAUGGAACUGCACCUUGGAUUUAUGAGCUGUAUACGUUUACAGUAAAAGUAUUUAACUCAUUCUAAAAGAGAAAAUAUUUCAUAGACUCCCCCCCCACCCCACCCCACCCGGUUCAAUUUUUGCAUUGGAAAAACUGGAGGGGGAGGCCUUGCGAAAAUCACAAGAACAAGUUUUUCCCUGAAUUUUUCCAGGGUUUUUUUGGGGGGGGCCAUGACAUUUCUAUGUCUGCUUGGCCAGUUUUUCAUAUGAUCUGGACCAAGAGGGAAGCAUUUGGAAAAACUGUCUUGUAGUUGCUUUAGGUCAGACUGAUGAUGGCAGUAUCAGCAGUUAUGUGGGACACAUGCUGUCAGCAGCAUUUAAUGGGCUCUAAGCUAAUCAAGGAAAAUAUCUUGGAAGAACUCAAAAAUGUCAUCCCUUUCAAUCCCAGACUUUUGGGACUAUUUGGUCUAAGUUUUGAGGACAAUCAUAACAUCACUGAUUCAUUGAGCUGGCUCAGCUAAGAACAUAACUUGUCCUUUAAGAAUUUCAGUUUUAGUUUGCUUGCGUGUGAAUGAUGCAUAUGAUUUAAAGUACUCAAGGUAUAAAUUGUGGUUUUAUGAUCUAGAAAACUUGUUAAAGCCAAGCAGGUAUGGGCAGUAAUCAGUUUGGGUUAAGAGACCUCUUGGAAAUCCUUUGUAAACCAUGAUAAGUGGGAUAUAAAUUGAAUUAUUAAUAAUAAUUGCUCAUUAGGAGAGUCAUGGAAUCAAUGUGGGGGAAAUCUGAGAAUUGUUAAAAUAAAGUGAUUUUGAGUA